GUGCUCACCUUCAGCAGCACAUAUACUAAAAAUUGGAACAAUACAGAGAGGAUUAGCCUGGCUCCUGUGCAAGGAUGGCAUGCAAAUUUGUGAAGUGUUCCAUGUAUUU
ensembl:snRNA U6 U6 spliceosomal RNA